rnacentral:rRNA from 1 species
UACGUAGGGUGCAAGCGUUGUCCGGAAUUAUUGGGCGUAAAGAGCUCGUAGGCGGUCUGUCGCGUCGGCUGUGAAAACUCAGGGCUCAACUCCGAGCUUGCAGUCGAUACGGGCAGGCUAGAGUUCGGCAGGGGAGACUGGAAUUCCUGGUGUAGCGGUGAAAAUGCGCAGAUAUCAGGAGGAACACCGGUGGCGAAGGCGGGUCUCUGGGCCGAAUACUCGUGAGGAGCGAAAGCUGGGGGAG